GUCAGAGGCGAUGAAGGACGUGCUAAUCUGCGAUAAGCGCCGGUAAGGUGAUAUGAACCGUUAUAACCGGCGAUUUCCGAAUGGGGAAACCCAGUGCAAUUCGUUGCACUAUCAUUACCUGAAUACAUAGGGUAAUGAAGCGAACCGGGAGAACUGAAACAUCUAAGUACCCCGAGGAAAAGAAAUCAAACGAGAUUCCCCCAGUAGCGGCGAGCGAACGGGGAGCAGCCCAGGACCUUAAUCAGCAUCAGUGCUAAGAGAACAGUCUGGAAAGGCUGGCCACAGCAGGUGAUAGCCCUGUAUCUGAAAGCACUGGUGUUGUGAGUCCGAUGAGUAAGGCGGGACACGUGUUAUCCUGUCUGAAUACGGGGGGACCAUCCUCCAAGGCUAAAUACUCCUGACUGACCGAUAGUGAACCAGUACCGUGAGGGAAAGGCGAAAAGAACCCCGGCGAGGGGAGUGAAAAAGAACCUGAAACCGUGUACGUACAAGCAGUGGGAGCACCCUUCGGGGUGUGACUGCGUACCUUUUGUAUAAUGGGUCAGCGACUUAUAUUCUGUAGCAAGGUUAACCGGAUAGGGGAGCCGCAGGGAAACCGAGUCUUAACUGGGCGAAUUAGUUGCAGGGUAUAGACCCGAAACCCGGUGAUCUAGCCAUGGGCAGGUUGAAGGUUGGGUAACACUAACUGGAGGACCGAACCGACUAAUGUUGAAAAAU
rnacentral:rRNA from 1 species